rnacentral:rRNA from 1 species
CAGCAGCCACGGGAAUACGUAGGUGGCAAGCGUUGUCCGGAAUUAUUGGGCGUAAAGGGCUCGCAGGCGGUUCCUCAAGUCUGAUGUGGAAGCCCCCGGCUCAACCGGGGAGGGUCAUUGGAAACUGGGAAACUUGAGUGCAGAAGAGGAGAGUGGAAUUCCACGUGUAGCGGUGAAAUGCGUAGAGAUGUGGAGGAACACCAGUGGCGAAGGCGACUUUCUGGUCUGUAACUGACGCUGAGGAGCGAAAGCGUGGGGAGCGAACAGGAUUAGAUACCCGCGUAGUCCCUGUCUCUUAUAA